rnacentral:rRNA from 1 species
UUGAUCCUGGCUCAGAAUCAACGCUGGCGGCGUGCCUCAGACAUGCAAGUCGAACGAGAAAGUCCCCUUCGGGGGAUAAGUAAAGUGGCGCACGGGUGAUUAACACGUAGGUAGUCUACCUUCGGGUGGGGAAUAACCCAGGGAAACUUUGGCUAACACCGCAUAAUGCAGCGGCACCACAUGGUGACAGUUGUUAAAGUGGGGGAUUUUAGGACCUCGCGCCUGAAGAGGAGCCUGCGGCGGAUUAGCUAGUUGGUAAGGUAACGGCUUACCAAGGUAACGAUCCGUAGCCGGCCUGAUAGGGCGGUCGGCCACACUGACACUGACAUACGGGUCAGACUCCUACGGGUGGCAGCAGUCGGGAAUUUUGGGCAAUGGGCGAAGGCCUGACCCAGCAACUCCGCGUGAAGGAUGAAACCCCUCGGGAUGUAAACUUCGCAAGAAUAGGAUGAAUUAGUAGGGGUUAAUACCCCCUAUGAUGACGGUACUAUUUGUAAGCUCCGGCUAACUCCGUGCCAGCAGCCGCGGUAAUAAGGGCGU